UGGAAAGGGGAAAAGAGGUCAGCAGGUCCUAGGUCUAGAAGACCAAGCCACAAAGUUUAAAUUGUAUCCUGAUGGCAAAAGAGAGUCAUUGAAGGGUUUCAGUUUGUAGAUAGAUCAGUCUGGUAACUGAAAAUGCAUGAGAAGAAGGAUCUCUGAAGGCAGAGGCUGGUAAAGGCACCAUGGCACUGACGAAGGCUGCCGGGGAGAGGCAGUCCUAUGGGAGAACUCGUGGUCAUCUGAACAGGAGGGAGGGAGAUCAGGAGGUCUCCAGCUGCACUCGGGUCCCAGAGAGCACCGCACAGAGUGCUGAGCUGGGGUUCUAGGUGAAAGGAGCUGCCAAUCAAGCGCGUGAACUUCAUGAAUGCUCCGAAGAAGAGAAAAAGGCAAAUAGGUUGGAACAAAGCUAACAGCUUAACUUGAAGCACUGAUUGUCAACAGAUUCAUUCUGGUUCUGGGUAUACAUUGACAGCAUAUUAGGACACCUCAUCCUUAAUCCACCCUACAACCAACAGUGAGGAUCAGCAGCGGGAGUGAUUUACUUACAAGAGGCUACCACGCCAUCUAUGCCCUUUGCCCUCCCAGUACCUGCUUCCAAGCCACCAUUUCUGUUUUUAUUAAGUUCCUGCCUAGCUCCAGAUAGAAGAGCAAAGGCCCACAGUGGAGGCCAUGGAGACCUGCUCAUCAUCUCCUACCUGAUUCAAGGCUUUGCUGUUCUGGUGAUGUGCGCUAUUUCUCCCACAGCAAGGGUCUCCAGGCACCCUUGAAAAUCUAGGGAACCUAUAUGGCUCUUUCCCAGAGGAACUGUACAUACAGAAUACUACAUUCAGACCUCCCACCGUCUGGAGAUGAGGAGGAUGUGCUGUUAAAAUACGCCAUUCUAUGGACCCCACACAGAUGAUCAAUAAGCCCUUCGCAAGUAUUAGUCAUCAGCUAUUAAAUACCAGCAAUCUUCUGAGAA